GUUUACGGCCAUACCACCCUGAAUGUGCCCAAUCUUGUCUGGUCUCAAAAGCUAAACAGGGUCAGGCCUGACUAGUACUUGGAUGGGAGACAAAUAUUCAAAAGAGACUGCUCAGAGACAAACA
rnacentral:rRNA from 1 species